AAAUGUAACUCCAACUAAAAUUCCCCUCAGCCAGGGCCACAACUACCCUAAUAUCUCCAGGCAAGAGGCAGAGUGGGAUGGAAGGAAUCAGAGGGUAGACAGAAGUCUUCACUGACUAUUUUUACAAUAUUUUACUUUUGAAAGUUUUACAGAAAUUGAGGAUCAUGUAAAUACCGUGUUGGUUUCUUGUCCAGAUUCUGAAUCUGGAACUUUCUUGGUUCCAAACAACUGAAUAUUUUCUCACAUAUUUUUGAUACAUCGUUUUUAGUCGUUUUCUUCCCCCAAAUGACCAAAGCCAGCUUCUGAUAUCUUUUUAAAACAGUAAUUCAGGUAGAUGAUAAACUAUCACACAAAUCCUUUGUCUUACUUUUCCAAACAGAUCUCUGAGAGUCCAGCUACCUCAGAAUAGAAGAGCCUUGUGCUGUUGCUGGGAACCCAAAGAUUUUGACAGUGAAAUAAAUUGUGUUGGGGCCCUCAGGGUAUUUUUAUUAAAGUAAGAUUAUACGAUGCAUUGUAAGAGCAGAGAUUAUACAUCCUGAAAAACAGUCUUUUACAAAUAUAACGAUUAUAUUAUUUUGGCAUGCUUUUGACACCCAUUUGUGAAACUGAAGUUAGUUACUUAAACUUAUUUGAUUUGAGAAAUUUUACAUUAUCUCUGGGAUUAAAACCCAAAGAUGAUAAAUGUUGAAUUUAAAAAGCAUUGUGUUAAUUCAUCAUUUAGUUCAAAGACUGUCAUAUGGAGAUAUUUUCUUUCAAAUUGAGAAGCCAUUAUCUACACAUACAUAAGCAUUUUCUUCUAUAAUGUAAGCUUGAUAUGGUAUGAUAGUCUGAUAGAUUUUAAUUUCCUUGGAUUAGUUAAUGUAGGCUUUCCUAGAUAGAGAUGAAAAUAUUAUUUAUAUUAUAAUCUACUUGAAAUAACAUGGAUUUAGAAAUUCUUCCUUUGAUAGUGGAAAAACCCUGAAAGAUCACUUAAUUAAAAAGUUACAAAUUAGUAGAUAACCCAUUGCUUAUAUAGAAAAGGUAGGUUGGGGGAUUUAUAUACAGUUUUAGUUCUCUGAUUUGAUUAUUCUACAAUGUUAUACCUAUAUUAAAAGAUCACAUUGCACCCA
rnacentral:lncRNA from 1 species